rnacentral:lncRNA from 1 species
AUGCCUGUACUUGUUAAUCUCCAACAGAUGGAUGCACAUACUUGGCCUUUUUACUUGACGCUUUCCUGUACUAGAAGUGUCUGUUUAACCGAGCCCUCCCAGAUUUUUCUCUGUGUCUGGACUCCCGUCAACAGGAGGACAGUAGGAGUCUGGGGAACAAAAGCCAACAGCUCCACUGAUAGAAAGAAUAGCCACCCUGACAGAAGGGUGAGGUUUGUGAGAGGAACAGGAGAUUUGAUUUCUGUCCUCUCAAACAGAUGCUCCAUUCCAAAGUGCAUGCUGAAACCUGGAUAAGAAGGAAGUUCUGGUCAGCCCAGCAUUUUUCUGUUUUUCCUGUUAACAGUGCAGUGCAGAGGCAGGCAGGACACCCGGCAAAGCAGAUGCAAGAAAAGCAGAGUUUUGCUUUUUCACCCUAUAAGUGAGGUUUCACCCUAUAAGUGAUUUAGCACACCGCCCAGCAUGUAUGUCUGAGUGCAAAGAGAAAAUCUGGUGGAAAAUCAUUGAAUAACUGGAUGCAUAGCAGUAAGCAGUAGUAACAGCACCUGUUAAAGCAGAUAGCCUGUUCAUGAGCUGGACCUGAGAAUGCAGAAGGAACCUGAGGUAUCUCUGCAUUCUCCAUGCUUCUAGAGACAUUAAUGGCUACAGGAAAUGAUGGUCAACCUAUGGAGAAUCAAGAAAUGGGUGGGGAUUGAGACUUUGCCUUUUGCCUUUGUGACCUGAAGAGGUGAAUAAUUCUUUGGGGAAACUGGUAGUUAAGGGAGAAUCAUAUGUGUAUUAACUAUAUAUAGUAAGUGGUUAUUGCUGUGCCUUUGUUAACUGUUUAAUAAAUGUAUAUGGAGUUCAUUCACAGUGUUUUGACUCUUCUCAAUUUCUGUUUACAAAGUCCCAGGUGAAAGAAAUCCAUUUAAUGGGUUGUUUUAAUAGGAAAGCCUGAACUCACAUGGAUCCAAGGAGUCAAUGGUCACAAUCAGGGGCUUCCCAGUAGGGGCUGCCAAUAAAUGAGGCAUCUGAGCUAACCGGCACACCUCAGUGCGGCUGGUUUACAGGACCUCCUAAAUAUCAAGCAAGUGUUUAUCAUAAACCAAGCACCAGCCAAUGGUAGACAUCCCUGCAAUAUAAGCAAGCCCCUUCUCCUGAUGGGAAUCACCAGAGAUAGUCUAGAAUCUGAAGAUACUGAGGACCUCAAGAGCCACUGGGUGGAGGCUGUGGGGCCAGAGGAGCUCC